CCAGUACUUCUCAUUCCAGCCUGAGUCCUCACUGGUCAAAACACAAUGGGUUUCCCAAAGUCUGCUAACAUCGCCUUUGAACCAAAAACCUGCAGUGCCUCUGGAGCCAAACAGAAGAUAUUUUGCUACGCCUACAGUUUCCUUGAGGAAAUGAACUGCUGAACCCUCUCCUUUUCACCCACAACUAACCCUUACGUGAUGAAAUGACAAUGCUGAGGCUAAUUGAUAUAGACUGAGAAAACAUCAUUUCACUAAGCAAGGGCAGUGAUUUCAGCAAGCUGUGACAUUUGGGAGCAGACAGACUAGCCUGUCCUUUCUUUACUAGCAGUAGAGAUGCCCUGUUAUGCUUAAUAGGCAACUGUGGCAAGUAGCUAAAGUCGACCAAAAUAGUAAGGAAAGCCCCAACUGUUAGGGCAUCUUGGAAGUAUGAAGAAACAUGGAGUUUUGGUGAUAAGAUGCAUGGAAAAGGCAUUGGAGACAGGGAAAAUAUCUCCUUGGAAGAAAUUAAUGUCCCAAGCAGCUUUUAGCCAGAGAAAGAACAAUUUAUGUAUCUGAAACUCUGUACCAACAGGACCUUGCAGUACCUACCCCAUUGCUCACAGCAGUACUGUUUUAAGGUAUUACCUAGGUGGAGAAUCCUUACUGCCCUAUUUUUAGCACUGGAAAUAUAAAAGAUGAUGCGUUUUGAAGGACCGCUCUUCUGGCUAGAUGCCAAUCCCACAUGAUACAGAUUUUCAGUCAUUUCAGUCACCACCAAGAGAUCAAAACAUGACGUCUUGAAGAGCCAAACAUUGGACAGCUAACAUCAGAGGGUUUAUGGCCAUCAGACCAGUUCUGACAGUUCAAGGAAGAACCCCACAUUUUGUAUAUACAAAGGACAAACCUUCCACUGUCCUCAGGAUGUACCUGCAUUGCACAGGUAAGUGC